rnacentral:rRNA from 1 species
AUUGAACGCUGGCGGCAUGCCUUACACAUGCAAGUCGAACGGCAGCACGGGUGCUUGCACCUGGUGGCGAGUGGCGAACGGGUGAGUAAUAUAUCGGAACGUACCUUAUUGUGGGGGAUAACGCAGCGAAAGCUGUACUAAUACCGCAUAAUCCCUAAGGGGGAAAGCGGGGGACCGUAAGGCCUCGCGCAAUUAGAGCGGCCGAUACCUGAUUAGCUAGUUGGUGAGGUAAAGGCUCACCAAGGCAACGAUCAGUAGCGGGUCUGAGAGGACGAUCAGCAACACGGGGACUGAGACACGGCCCAGACUCCUACGGGAGGCAGCAGUGGGGAAUUGUGGACAAUGGGGGCAACCCUGAUCCAGCAAUGCCGCGUGAGUGAAGAAGGCCUUCGGGUUGUAAACCGCUUUUGUCAGGGAAGAAAUCUUCUGGGUUAAUACGUCGGGAGGAUGACGGUACCUGAAGAAUAAGCACCGGCUAACUACGUGCCAGCCGCCGCCGUAA